GGGCUCACACAAGCGGUGGAGCAUGUGGUUCAAUUCGAAGCAACGCGCAGAACCUUACCUGGGCUUGACAUGCCAGGAUUAUCCCCAUGAAAGUGGGGUAGGCCCUUCGGGGUACAACUGGUACAGGUGCUGCAUGGCUGUCGUCAGCUCGUGUCGUGAGAUGUCGGGUUAAGUCCCUUAACGAGCGAAACCUUUGCCCUUAGUUACCAGCGGGUUAUGCCGGGGACUCUAAGGGGACUGCCGGUGUCAAACCGGAGGAAGGUGGAGAUGACGUCAAGUCCUCAUGGCCUUUAUGCCCAGGGCCACACACGUGCUACAAUGGCGUGCACAGAGCGAACCGAGAGCGCAAGCUGGAGGAAAUCGCACAAAUCACGCCCCAGUUCAGAUCGGAGGCUGCAACUCGCCUCCGUGAAGUUGGAAUCGCUAGUAAUCGCGGAUCAGCUACGCCGCGGUGAAUGUGUUCCUGAGCCUU
rnacentral:rRNA from 1 species